AUCCGAUCUCGUGGAAAACUUUCAGUAUUUCCCCCUCGCUCAUAAACAACACAACAUGGAUGGGUUGGCUUUGCUUGAAAAGGUGGAUUGAUAACGCGCUUAUUGGUCCAUAACACGAAGGUAUUUGUGUCAUUGUCUACGGAUUUUUAUUGAAAUCGUUUUUUUUUUCGGGUUGUGCCCUCUGGUAUCCCCUUUGGUGACGUCAUCGUUCAAAUUCAGUUGUGAUUCAAAGAUUUGAGUAGGGGAUUAAUCGAUCUUGGAAUUGAGGAUGUCAGCGCAACCAAAUUAAACGAGCCCUGCUCCACCGUGCCUCGUCAUCCGCGAGCUUCCUGCGCGGCCCGUCCCCCGUGACCUUCGUGUGUGUGUCCCGCUCACUCGUUCACUGACUCAGUACUAACUUUAGCUGGAGUGGGACUACAACGCUCGUGGAUCAAUUUCGGCAGAUUUCAAAGCAAGAUAUUACGUAAGCAUGCCUUACAUAGCAGGAUGAAGAAAUUGAAUAGACCAGGUGACUAGAAUAGCACAUCAAUGAACACUCUAUGAAGGUAUUUG